GACAGAGGGGGCAAGCGUUGCUCGGAAUUACUGGGCGUAAAGGGCGCGUAGGCGGGAUGGCAAGUCGGUCGUGAAAGCCUUCGGCUCAACCGAAGAACGUCGGCCGAUACUGCCGUUCUUGAGGGAUGCAGAGGAGACUGGAAUUCCCGGUGUAGCGGUGAAAUGUGUAGAGAUCGGGAGGAAUACCAGUGGCGAAGGCGGCCUUCUGGACUAUAACUGACGCUGAGGCGCGAAAGCUAGGGGAGCAAACGGG
rnacentral:rRNA from 1 species